AACGAACGCUGGCGGCAGGCCUAACACAUGCAAGUCGAACGCCGUAGCAAUACGGAGUGGCAGACGGGUGAGUAACACGUGGGAACAUACCCUUCGGUUCGGAAUAACUCAGGGAAACUUGAGCUAAUACCGGAUACGUCCGCGAGGAGAAAGAUUCAUCGCCGGAGGAUUGGCCCGCGUCUGAUUAGCUUGUUGGUGAGGUAAUGGCUCACCAAGGCGACGAUCAGUAGCUGGUCUGAGAGGAUGAUCAGCCACAUUGGGACUGAGACACGGCCCAAACUCCUACGGGAGGCAGCAGUGGGGAAUAUUGGACAAUGGGCGCAAGCCUGAUCCAGCCAUGCCGCGUGAGUGAUGAAGGCCCUAGGGUUGUAAAGCUCUUUUGUGCGGGAAGAUAAUGACGGUACCGCAAGAAUAAGCCCCGGCUAACUU
rnacentral:rRNA from 1 species